rnacentral:ncRNA from 11 species
UGAAGCUGCCAGCAUGAUCU